rfam:Eurypyga helias contig25833, whole genome shotgun sequence.
UCAGAAUGAUGAACUCCUCACUGGUCCGUGUUGCAGACAAGCAGUGACGACUGUGAAGUUCUGACUAA